rnacentral:rRNA from 1 species
GCCCGUGACCUUACCUCCCUGAAUGUGCCUGAUCUUGUUUGAUCUCAGAAACUCAGCAAGGCCAGACCUGUUAGUACUUUGAUGGUAUAAGAGGGACAAGAUUUCUUUUGUU